rnacentral:rRNA from 1 species
GACGAACGCUGGCGGCGUGCUUAACACAUGCAAGUCGAACGGAAAGGCCCUGCUUUUGUGGGGUGCUCGAGUGGCGAACGGGUGAGUAACACGUGAGUAACCUGCCCUUGACUUUGGGAUAACUUCAGGAAACUGGGGCAAAUACCGGAUAGGAGCUCCUGCUGCAGGGUGGGGGUUGGAAAGUUUCGGCGGUUGGGGAUGGACUCGCGGCUUAUCAGCUUGUUGGUGGGGUAGUGGCUUACCAAGGCUUUGACGGGUAGCCGGCCUGAGAGGGUGACCGGCCACAUUGGGACUGAGAUACGGCCCAGACUCCUACGGGAGGCAGCAGUGGGGAAUAUUGCACAAUGGGCGGAAGCCUGAUGCAGCAACGCCGCGUGCGGGAUGACGGCCUUCGGGUUGUAAACCGCUUUCGCCUGUGACGAAGCGUGAGUGACGGUAAUGGGUAAAGAAGCACCGGCUAACUACGUG